GACGAACGCUGGCGGCGUGCUUAACACAUGCAAGUCGAACGGAAAGGCCCUGCUUUUGUGGGGUGCUCGAGUGGCGAACGGGUGAGUAACACGUGAGUAAACUGCCCUUGACCUUGGGAUAACUUCAGGAAACUGGGGCUAAUAUCGGAUAGGAGCUCCUGCUGCAUGGUGGGGGCUGGAAAGUUUCGGCGGUUGGGGAUGGACUCGCGGCUUAUCAGCUUGUUGGUGGGGUAGUGGCUUACCAAGGCUUUGACGGGUAGCCGGCCUGAGAGGGUGACCGGCGACAUUGGGACUAAGAGAGGGCCCAGACUCCUACGGGAGGCAACGGUGGAGAAUAUUGCGGAGUAAGCGGAAGCCUGAUGCAGCAACGCCGCGUGCGGGAUAACGGCCUUCGAGUUGUGAACCGCUUUCGCCUGUGACGAAGCGUGAGUGACGGUAAUGGGUAAGGAAGCACCGGCUAACUACGUG
rnacentral:rRNA from 1 species